AGGUGUAAGAGAAGUGCGUUUAAAGAUGGUUAGCAGAAGAAACGUCUGAGAGAGUCAGCCACUUGUUUGAGCCUCAGUCAGACUCAGAUGAGGAGUUUGUUGUCCACCAAAAUCGGCGAUUAGAAGACGUAUCAGAAAGGGUCAAGGAGAAAACUUGGUUGCCAUGAUCCCGCAACCAAGAGGAGAGGCGAGAAAGCUCAGAGGAUAUGAAUAAGGGAGCAGGAGAGAUGGAUGAGGGGAGUGGGGAGAGGCAGGAGAGAGACAGAGAUGGAUGGAGUGAAGAGUCUGGCUGUACAGGGGCACAGCUACAGAGAGACACAAUUCACAGAAGCACAGAGGAGAUCUCGGAGAGGCUUUGGAAAAAUGACAAGUCAAGAAGUUGGGGAAGGAGGGAUAAUGAGCAAAGAAGAGAGGCCAUCCCUCCAUCACAGAGUGAGAGAGGGGAACAGACAGCAUUGCCUGAAGCCAACAGAGCAGUAGAGCGAGCAGCAGAGAGAGAGUGAAGGAGAGGAAAGUGAGAACACACGGAGUAUGGGGGUAGAGGGAAAGAAGACCCAGGUGUGGAAGAGAGAAAUACACAAAGACGGAGCAAGAGAGCAUGAGAGAGACGCAAACGCUGCCCAAAGAAGUUGUCCUCUCUUCUGGUUAUCCUCCAUCACCCUGCCUGUGUUUUCUCCAUCCCUGUGACUCUCUUCAUGGCCCUUUGGCUCCGUGACCCCUGUGUCGGCUGCCAUUUCUCAGCCUGGCCCUGUCACUCUCCUCCUGGCUCACAUGCAGCCCACACUGGAAGGUCGAGUGUCGUCAGCCGAGCUUGAACCUCACACCAUUUUUGUAAGACAGAGCAGAUGCUGUGACGGACUAAAUGUGACAGUUGAGCUGCUGACCUUUGGUCCGGAGACGACAGACAGAAACCUGCAGCCGGAGCAGCAGCGCCCAUGCACACAUGGGUGCUCCGUACAUACAGAAACACAACCAAAGGAACACACAACCUCACAGAAUUAUCAGUGUACGAAAGUGUGCACAAUUCUCUCAUUCAUACAGGCAAUACAAAAAUGCAUCAAUAGCAUAUGUUUUUGUAAUAGAUGGGUUAGAAAAGUGCACAAAGUGUAACAAUGUAAUGUGAAAUAAAUGUGUUUAUAGGCAUAUGAUGUAUUUAAAUAGUAACAUUUCAAAUUCAGUGUUAAAAACCUGUUCCCUUUGGGCUAGUUAGUGUUGUAAAAAUGAUAAACGCACAAAUAUGUGAGGGCCUUCUCAGUGAGGAAAUUAAUAUAUCAAUAAGAGAGAUGAGAAUAAUCAGAAUCAUAAAGUGCUGCAAGAACUAUUCUUAACAAUUCAAGUUACCACACAAAAUAACUUAUCAGUAUUAGUUUUACUGUAAGUAUUCUACCAUUGUUAUCUUUCUAAAUUACAUUUCCAUCUAACGCACUCUACUGAGCAGUAAAGGUGAUAUUUUGUUAUAACAAGAAAACCUUCUUGUUAAAAUCAUUGUACCUUCUUGUUUUUAUCAUUGUAAUAUAAGAAAAUAAGUAUACGUUUUCCUUCAAAUGGCAGCAGAAAUACUCUGCUAUAGUUAUAUAAAUAUAAUAUAUUUAAAAAAGUAAUUAAAAAAGCAUAUCUUUUUUUCCCCUUCUAACAAGUGCAAAAAAGUAUAUUCUGGCCAUAAUGAACGAACUUUAAAGGCAUAGUAUAACAAUCAAUUUCUCUCCGAGAGUUAGAUGAAAGACUGAUGCAACGUGCAUAAAGUAUGAAGCUAAAGAGAGGAGGAGAUUAACUCAGUUUAGCAUAAAGACUCGAAGCAGGAGAAACACUCGAAGUGAACAAAAUCCACCCAUCAACACCUCUAAAGCUCAAUAAUGAACUUGUUAUAUGUCAUGUGUUUAAUCCGAAACAUUAACAGAAUAAUAAAAACAGUUUUUAUGCUAUAUCUUGACAAAUAACAGUUAAACACUUGCUCCAGCACUUCUCUGUUGGUUGCCUGGCAACCGCGCAAUUAUGACAAGACUUUGAGACAUCUCUGCUCAUGGCUGUUGUUCGCCAAGAAAUAGUUACAGCACGAAACUUUCUGUGAAACUGGUAAUUGUUUAUUUCUUACAUUUCUGUGUGUACAGACUAAACAAACAAGAUAUAACAUGUUGAUAGUGACCUUUUAGCUGUAUUGUUGCAUAAAAACUUUGGACAGAAUCAGGUUAGCUGUUUUCCUGUACUAAGCUAAGCUAAAAUAAGCAAAGCUAAUCACCUCCUGGCUCAGGCUCCAUACUUUACACACAGAGCGAUGUUGAUCUUUUUUCUCUUAGCAGGAAAGCGAGUUAAUGUAGUUGUUGAGUUUUGACUUUGAAAUAAAAUGUGGUAG